CCCGGUGAGUGUAAACUUAAACGGCCGCAGUUAAAAGCUGUGCUAAGGUAGCGUAGUAAUUUGUCCUUUAAUUAAGGAAAGGAAUGAAUGGUUUGACGUAAAAGCUUCUGUCUCUAAGGCAUAUUUAAAAAUUUUUUUUCUAGUGAAAAGGCUAGGUUAAAAUUAAAAGACGAGAAGACCCUUUCGAGCUUGGUUAGCAGGCUGUAGGGUUGUGCUUAUAGUAGUGAAUAUUUGGUUGGGGCAACAUAGGAGUAACUAGAGACUCCUUAAAUAAACAAAGAGCCAAAAAGUUUGAAAAAGGAAAAAGCUACCGUAGGGAUAACAGCGUUAUCUUUCUUAAGAGAUCAAAUUGAAGGAAAG
rnacentral:rRNA from 1 species